rfam:Dichanthelium oligosanthes cultivar Kellogg 1175 unplaced genomic scaffold Do_version_2_scaffold31, whole genome shotgun sequence.
GGGUGAAGUGAGGAAUCUCAAUCCAUAAACCAAUCUCUGCAUCUUCAAGAUGAUGAUUGCCAAAUUACAUGCACUACCAUCUGAUCUCCC